rnacentral:tRNA from 1 species
GCUCGCCCAUCUUCGGAUGGAGAAGUCGAGCCUCUACCUUUCGGUUCUCUUGGAACAAGACGGAAGAGAGUCACUCUUACCGUCGCGCAUACCUAAAGCGGGUCUGCCGCCUUCGUUUCUCUUUCUUCAGCGAAUGACUUUGGAUUGCGCUCGCGCGCCGUACCGCGGCCCUUUGGGCCGCUGGCGCUCCGCGAGGGCGCGGCACGAGCCGCGACGGCCGGUCGGCCUUGCGAGGCUCUGCCUCGAAGCUGAUCGCCAUCUGCGCUUGGGGCUAAGGGCUUGUAGCUCAGUUGGUUAGAGCGCGCGCUUGAUAAGCGUGAGGUCGGAGGUUCAAGUCCUCCCAGGCCCACCACUUCGCAAUCCGCAAGGAUUGUCGGAUCUCCUCGAUAUCUGUCGGGAAACACUAUCAGGGGCCGUAGCUCAGCUGGGAGAGCGCCUGCUUUGCAAGCAGGAUGUCGUCGGUUCGAUCCCGUCCGGCUCCACCAAUGCGCGAUCUCGAAGAGAUCGUCGCUUCAGCCACCGCGUUGCGGUUUGGCAAGCGCGCGAUCCGCAGGAUCGUCGCGUCGAGGUGUAGAGCAGAGACGGUGAGAAAAAAGUCAUUCGAUAUAAGAGUUUGCGUCGAGCUUCUUGGCUCAGCGCCUGUUCUGUUUGACAUCGUAAAGAGAAGAUUUGUUCGAACUUCAUGGAUCGCAAGGUUCGUGAUUUGUCGCAGGGACGCUCAAUCCCUUGCAUAUGAUGGGUUUGCCUAACCGCGCCCUAGAACGGAUCUCGAGAAGCUGGUCUUUUUGUGCCAAUUCCAUUGAAGCAGGUCCCGCACAGGAUCUGGUUCGAGGCGACGAUCCCUUCGGGAUCGCGCGGUGGGUAUUGGCAAUGAGAACGAUCAAGUGUCUUAAGGGCAAUUGGUGGAUGCCUUGGCAUGCACAGGCGAUGAAGGACGUGAUACGCUGCGAUAAG